rnacentral:rRNA from 1 species
GGGUUGUGAGGUUAAGCGACUAAGCGUACACGGUGGAUGCCCUGGCAGUCAGAGGCGAUGAAGGACGUGCUAAUCUGCGAAAAGCGUCGGUAAGGUGAUAUGAACCGUUAUAGCCGGCGAUGUCCGAAUGGGGAAACCCAGUGUGAUUCGUCACACUAUCGUUAACUGAAUACAUAGGUUAACGAGGCGAACCGGGGGAACUGAAACAUCUAAGUACCCCGAGGAAAAGAAAUCAACCGAGAUUCCCCCAGUAGCGGCGAGCGAACGGGGAGCAGCCCAGAGUCUGAAUCAGCUUGUGUGUUAGUGGAACGGUCUGGAAAGUCCGACGGUACAGGGUGAUAGUCCCGUACACCAAAAUGCACAGGUUGUGAACUCGAAGAGUAGGGCGGGACACGUGGUAUCCUGUCUGAAUAUGGGGGGACCAUCCUCCAAGGCUAAAUACUCCUGACUGACCGAUAGUGAACCAGUACCGUGAGGGAAAGGCGAAAAGAACCCCGGCGAGGGGAGUGAAAAAGAACCUGAAACCGUGUACGUACAAGCAGUGGGAGCACCUUCGGGUGUGACUGCGUACCUUUUGUAUAAUGGGUCAGCGACUUAUAUUCUGUAGCAAGGUUAACCGUAUAGGGGAGCCGCAGGGAAACCGAGUCUUAACUGGGCGUUAAGUUGCAGGGUAUAGACCCGAAACCCGGUGAUCUAGCCAUGGGCAGGUUGAAGGUUGGGUAACACUAACUGGAGGACCGAACCGACUAAUGUUGAAAAAUUAGCGGAUGACUUGUGGCUGGGGGUGAAAGGCCAAUCAAACCGGGAGAUAGCUGGUUCUCCCCGAAAGCUAUUUAGGUAGCGCCUCGUGAAUUCAUCUUCGGGGGUAGAGCACUGUUUCGGCUAGGGGGUCAUCCCGACUUACCAACCCGAUGCAAACUACGAAUACCGAAGAAUGUUAUCACGGGAGACACACGGCGGGUGCUAACGUCCGUCGUGAAGAGGGAAACAACCCAGACCGCCAGCUAAGGUCCCAAAGUCACAGUUAAGUGGGAAACGAUGUGGGAAGGCACAGACAGCCAGGAUGUUGGCUUAGAAGCAGCCAUCAUUUAAAGAAAGCGUAAUAGCUCACUGGUCGAGUCGGCCUGCGCGGAAGAUGUAACGGGGCUAAACUGUGCACCGAAGCUGCGGCAGCGACACUAUGUGUUGUUGGGUAGGGGAGCGUUCUGUAAGCCUGCGAAGGUGGCCUGUGAGGGUUGCUGGAGGUAUCAGAAGUGCGAAUGCUGACAUAAGUAACGAUAAUGCGGGUGAAAAGCCCGCACGCCGGAAGACCAAGGGUUCCUGUCCAACGUUAAUCGGGGCAGGGUGAGUCGACCCCUAAGGCGAGGCCGAAAGGCGUAGUCGAUGGGAAACAGGUUAAUAUUCCUGUACUUGGUGUUACUGCGAAGGGGGGACGGAGAAGGCUAUGUUAGCCGGGCGACGGUUGUCCCGGUUUAAGCAUGUAGGCGGAGGUUCCAGGUAAAUCCGGUACCUUUUUAACGCUGAGGUGUGAUGACGAGGCACUACGGUGCUGAAGUAACAAAUGCCCUGCUUCCAGGAAAAGCCUCUAAGCAUCAGGUAACAUUAAAUCGUACCCCAAACCGACACAGGUGGUCAGGUAGAGAAUACCAAGGCGCUUGAGAGAACUCGGGUGAAGGAACUAGGCAAAAUGGUGCCGUAACUUCGGGAGAAGGCACGCUGAUAUGUAGGUGAAGCCCCUGCGGGUGGAGCUGAAAUCAGUCGAAGAUACCAGCUGGCUGCAACUGUUUAUUAAAAACACAGCACUGUGCAAACACGAAAGUGGACGUAUACGGUGUGACGCCUGCCCGGUGCCGGAAGGUUAAUUGAUGGGGUUAUCCGUAAGGAGAAGCUCUUGAUCGAAGCCCCGGUAAACGGCGGCCGUAACUAUAACGGUCCUAAGGUAGCGAAAUUCCUUGUCGGGUAAGUUCCGACCUGCACGAAUGGCGUAAUGAUGGCCAGGCUGUCUCCACCCGAGACUCAGUGAAAUUGAACUCGCUGUGAAGAUGCAGUGUACCCGCGGCAAGACGGAAAGACCCCGUGAACCUUUACUAUAGCUUGACACUGAACAUUGAGCCUUGAUGUGUAGGAUAGGUGGGAGGCUUUGAAGCGUGGACGCCAGUCUGCGUGGAGCCAACCUUGAAAUACCACCCUUUAAUGUUUGAUGUUCUAACGUUGGCCCCUUAUCGGGGUUGCGGACAGUGUCUGGUGGGUAGUUUGACUGGGGCGGUCUCCUCCCAAAGAGUAACGGAGGAGCACGAAGGUUAGCUAAUCCUGGUCGGACAUCAGGAGGUUAGUGCAAUGGCAUAAGCUAGCUUGACUGCGAGCGUGACGGCGCGAGCAGGUGCGAAAGCAGGUCAUAGUGAUCCGGUGGUUCUGAAUGGAAGGGCCAUCGCUCAACGGAUAAAAGGUACUCCGGGGAUAACAGGCUGAUACCGCCCAAGAGUUCAUAUCGACGGCGGUGUUUGGCACCUCGAUGUCGGCUCAUCACAUCCUGGGGCUGAAGUAGGUCCCAAGGGUAUGGCUGUUCGCCAUUUAAAGUGGUACGCGAGCUGGGUUUAGAACGUCGUGAGACAGUUCGGUCCCUAUCUGCCGUGGGCGCUGGAGAAUUGAGGGGGGCUGCUCCUAGUACGAGAGGACCGGAGUGGACGCAUCACUGGUGUUCGGGUUGUCAUGCCAAUGGCAUUGCCCGGUAGCUAAAUGCGGAAGAGAUAAGUGCUGAAAGCAUCUAAGCACGAAACUUGCCCCGAGAUGAGUUCUCCCUGACUCCUUGAGAGUCCUGAAGGAACGUUAAAGACGAUGACGUUGAUAGGUCGGGUGUGUAAGCGUAGCGAUACGUUGAGCUAACCGAUACUAAUGAACCGUGAGGCUUAACCUUACAACGCCGAAGGUGUUU